rnacentral:piRNA from 1 species
GACGGGGCUGGAGGCAAAGGGACAUA